AUAAGACCGGAGUCUGGAUCGUACUUUAUAUUGUUGCUCUUGGCAUUACCUCGUUUCCUGCCGUAGGUGUGUGUCUGAUGGUUGCAGAUUGUCCAGUUGUAUAUUGCCGAUUUACAUUCAGAGGUGCUGUCCCAAACUCACUUUUGUGUUUCCACAGGUUAUACUCAAUAGCCUCAUGAAUCACAUUUUCAAAUACAACAUUAUGGGUGAGUGUAUCAAGAAACUGACCAUUCCAUCCUGGACACAGAUAUGGUCAAGGAACUUUCACAACCUGAUGUUAUUGUUAAAGGCACUCACCUGUACUAUUGUAACAGGAAGGGAGAUAAAUGCAACAGACCAGACCAGGCCCCCUGAAUCUCUAGUCAGGUGCUCUACCAACCGAGCUAACUGGCCACUGGUGAUCAAACCCGUCUGACCACAGCAUUCCUCCCUCCUUAAACGUCUUCACACUCGAAGACAGUAACCCAGAUUCUUUUUGCCCUGACAGGACUUUCACCUACAAAUCCUGGUCACAUCACCAAGUGUAACAGGAAGGGAAAAAAUGCAAUGGACCAGACCUGGGUUCGAAUCUGUGCCCCUAAAUCUCCAGUCCCGUGCUCUACCAACAGAGCUAUCUGCCCGACGAUGAUCAAACCCGUCUGACCGCUACAUUCCUCCUGUUUUUUAAUGGUAUAUACAAGCUCAACAAAAAUUUUAUCUAUCUAACAAAUAAGGACAAAUUUACUUGGUUGAUGAUUAAGACAAACCAGUAAUUGUCAAAUUGAGUGAAUAUUUAGUGCAAACUUUCAGAAAAAGAAGUGAUGCUUUAAAACUGCAAAAAUCAUUAUAGUUUAUUAUUCAUAUGUUGGUAUAAUACUGAUACUGUCCAUUUACUUGUGUAUACACAUGAUUAGCAAUUCAUAUAUGUAUGUACUUGUUUCCCCAACAUGCUGCAUCCACAUGCAGUUUGCAGUCUAUGUAACCUGUAGUUAAUGUUGUAAACUUUCUUUCUUUUUUGAAUUUCCUUCUUUAUAAACUGUCUUACUGUUAUGACCUCUGGGCCCAAAAUUGGAAUAAACUUAUCUUAUCUUG